GAUGAAGAACGUAGCGAAAUGCGAUAAGUGAUGUGAAUUGCAGAAUUCAGUGAAUCAUCGAAUCUUUGAACGCACCUUGCACCCUUUGGCAUUCCGAAGGGUAUGCUCGUUUGAGUGUCAUUGUACUCUCACACUCCCGAUCUUUGGAUUGGGAGCGGUGGACUUGGGUUUGCUGCUUGCCGUGGCUCACCUCAAAUGGAUUAGUGCAACUCUUGGUUGACCAUAGUACGGCGUGAUAAGUGUCUUCGCCGGCACCUCACUGGGUGGGCCGAUCGGGAGCUCUGUGCUUCAAACCGUCUUCGGACAACAACUGACAACUUGACCUCAAAUCGAGUAGGACCACCCGCUGAACUUAAGCAUAUCAAUAAGCGGAGGA
rnacentral:misc_RNA from 1 species